rnacentral:lncRNA from 1 species
UUCAUCUCCAGCAUGCGGCAAGGAGUGCGAUGAAAGGAGCAGCUGUUCUCCCCAGGCCUUAUGUCCUCUCCUCUUCAUAGACAGAAAGUGCAGAAGAGCAGUUCUGGACUUGGUGGGCCUGGAGAAACCCUUCAUUUUGACAGCCAGGAGUGGAUACAAAUGACCAGCGGUUGCAGCAGCCUGCUUCUUGCUGCAGCCAAGCAAACACAGGACGUGAGAUGACCACAAAUGGUCAGCCCCUGCGGACAGCAUGCCUGAUGAUCGCCCACAUUCAGCCUUCAACUUUGCAGGCCCAGAAGCAAUGUGGGAGGGAGGUGGAGACAGAGGCCAGCAAGGCUCACAAGGAGAGAAAAGUCAGCUACCCCCUGCCCCUCUGCAGUUUCCUGGGUGAAGCAAACUGGAAUUGAAAAGAGAAAAUUUUUAAACUGGGUGAGAAUAUGCAGUUAUGUGAAUUAAAAUGACUGUUCUUGUGAAUGAAAGUGACUUG